GAUUCUGCAGUCCUGAGUCAUGGUCAUGAGGAGAAGAGCUGUAACACGGUGAUACAGAAUUUCCAAUCUCUAACCUGAGCAGACUGUGAGACCUGAAAACCUCUUCAAUGCUUGCCAUAUUCCUCUUCACAAGGCUCCCACAGAACAUUUCCAUUUUACAAAUUGGGAAUCAGGGAGAAGAAGGACUUCAUGUAUUGCACAAAGGCAUAAAAUGAAUCAAAGAAUCCCAACUCCAGGCUAACGUUUGCUGCCAAAUCAGUCUUCUUACUUACUGCCCUUCAUGGUCAUUAAGAAAGAAACCAGACUCCAGUUCUAUCACAGGCCUGCUCAUCAGCGUGUUCACAGAGCAGCUCAGAUCCCAGCUUGGAUGCUUCAGGGUCACAGCCUUCAUCAGCUCCACCAGCAGAACCCUUGUCAGCUCCUGAGCCAACAUCCAAAUGCUUUCCUAACGCUUGGCUACCUUAGAGAACAGCAAUGCUGAACCCUGAGAAGCAA